rnacentral:tRNA from 2 species
GUCAGGGUGGCCGAGUGGUCUAAGGCGCUGUGUUCAGGUCGCAGUCUCCCCUGGAGGCAUGGGUUCAAAUCCCACUUCUGACA